UACGGAGGGUGCAAGCGUUAUCCGGAAUCACUGGGUUUAAAGGGUGCGUAGGCGGUGAGGUAAGUCAGUUGUGAAAUUCACCGGCUUAACCGGUAGGAGUGCGAUUGAUACUGCUUUACUUGAAUCAGGUUGAGGUGAGCGGAAUGUGGCAUGUAGCGGUGAAAUGCAUAGAUAUGCCAUAGAACACCGAUUGCGAAGGCAGCUUGCUGGACCUUGAUUGACGCUGAGGCACGAAAGCGUGGGGAGCAAACAGG
rnacentral:rRNA from 1 species